UACGUAGGGUGCAAGCGUUAAUCGGAAUUACUGGGCGUAAAGCGUGCGCAGGCGGUGAUGUAAGACAGUUGUGAAAUCCCCCCGGCUCAACCGGGGGAACGGCUGGGUAUACUGGCGAUCUUGAGCGACCUAGGGGCAGUCGGAACAAGUGGUGGAGCGGAUGAAAUGCGUAGAUAUCACUUGGAACGCCAAUGGUAAAAACAGACUGCUGGGGGGUUCGCUGACGCUGAGACACGAAAAGCCAGGGGAGCAAACGGG
rnacentral:rRNA from 1 species